CCUACGGGAGGCAGCAGUGGGGAAUAUUGCACAAUGGGCGCAGGCCUGAUGCAGCCAUGCCGCGUGUGUGAAGAAGGCCUUCGGGUUGUAAAGCACUUUCAGCGGGGAGGAAGGCGGUGAGGUUAAUAACCUCAUCGAUUGACGUUACCCGCAGAAGAAGCACCGGCUAACUCCGUGCCAGCAGCCGCGGUAAUACGGAGGGUGCAAGCGUUAAUCGGAAUUACUGGGCGUAAAGCGCACGCAGGCGGUCUGUCAAGUCGGAUGUGAGAUCCCCGGGCUCAACCUGGGAACUGCAUUCGAAACUGGCAGGCUAGAGUCUUGUAGAGGGGGGUAGAAUUCCAGGUGUAGCGGUGAAAUGCGUAGAGAUCUGGAGGAAUACCGGUGGCGAAGGCGGCCCCCUGGACAAAGACUGACGCUCAGGUGCGAAAGCGUGGGGAGCAAACAGGAUUAGAUACCCUAGUAGUC
rnacentral:rRNA from 1 species